GUGCUCCCUUCAACAGCACAUAUACUAAAAUUGGAAUGAUAACAGAGAAGACUAGCAUGGCUCCUGCACAAGACAUGUCUUCUGGUAGCAGAAAGAAAUACAGAGACAAU